GCGGGAUUAGUUCAGUGGCAGAAUGUCAGCUUCCCAAGCUGAAGACGCGGGUCCGAUUCCCGUAUCCCGCUCCA
rnacentral:tRNA from 1 species